rnacentral:lncRNA from 1 species
GGAUGAAGAGAAAAAGUAGGGAUCAGAAUCAUAGUUCAUCAUUUCCCUGUCAACUAACCUGUACACACAGUAAAAGUAAAAAUCAUGUUAGGUGGAACUUUAGGAGUAAUUAGAGCCGUAAUUAGUGGAUAGUUAGAAGCAGUUUGUAUAUUAAAACAAUGUAAUCUUUACAGAAAAAAAAGAACAAUUUUUCCCUCUGUGAAACAUGGUAUCAGAGCUGGUGUUUUUCAGUCAGAACUGACUGAACACAUUUAGCUCAUCACCUACCUUCUGACUUACCUGAAAUAACCAAAUAUCAUCAUGUCUGAUGAUAGUGUUCAUACCUCGGGUCUCAACGACGAAGACCUGACAAGAAUUGCAAACCUGAUUAAUACCCAAAACCAGAAACAAACCAUUUCAGAUAACCUCACCAUCAAUGUCAAAUUAAAUAGCCAAAAUUAUGCAAUAUGGUCACGUAUGAUGAAAGUAGCUAUUGGGGGAAAAUCAAAAAAAUUGUUAAACCACAUCACUGAAGCUGCUACACCUCCAUCCGCUGGAGAUCCACAUUUUGAAAAGUGGGAACAAGAAGAUUUGAUUGUGUUCUCAUGGUUAAUUCAGAACAUGGAACCACAACUAGCAAACAACUUAACAGAGUAUUCCACAGCUAAAGAUUUGUGGAAUGCUCUUGUUAUCACAUAUAGCAGUGGGAAAGAUAAAUUACAGAUAUUUGAUCUACAUACCAGAGCAAACAGCAUGAAACAGGGAUCAUCAACACUAGAAGAAUUCUGGCUCACCAUGCAAGGAAUAUGGGGGGAGAUGGAUCGUAGGGAGCCUAAUCCGAUGACAUGCUCAACAGAUAUCGCGACAUACAACAAAGUCAAACAAGAACAAAAACUAUUUCAAUUCUUAAAUGGAAUAGAUCACCUGUAUGAUCAGAUCAAAAGGGAAAUCCUCAGAUCGGAGCAUCUUCCCUCAGCUGAAGCCGCCUACGCCUCUGUUCGGAAAGAAGCCGCCCGAUUGAACAUCAUGGGACCAGCUAACAGAGAAUCGCUAUCACAGGGCAUAGGCGACGGAUUUGUCAUCAUCGGGAAGAAAGAAGCAAGUGAAGCAACUGGUGUAGGACUCGUCGCGCGUGGCCAGCGGCGGUCAGAACCAAGAAACGAUGGUUCAUCAUCCCGUCCAGAUAAAUCGAGACUCAAGUGCUCUUAUUGUGGGAUGAGCAAACACACAAAAGAUCAAUGCUUCGAAUUAAUUG